UACACUCCUGCGGGAGGCAGCAGUGGGGAAUUUUGGACAAUUGGCGAAAGCCUGAUCCAGCAAUGCCGCGUGAGUGAAGAAGGCCUUCGGGUUGUAAAGCUCUUUUGUCAGGGAAGAAACGGUGAAAGCUAAUAUCUUUUGCUAAUGACGGUACCUGAAGAAUAAGCACCGGCUAACUACGUGCCAGCAGCCGCGGUAAUACGUAGGGUGCAAGCGUUAAUCGGAAUUACUGGGCGUAAAGCGUGCGCAGGCGGUUUUGUAAGUCUGAUGUGAAAUCCCCGGGCUCAACCGGGGAAUUGCAUUGGAGACUGCAAGGCUAGAAUCUGGCAGAGGGGGGUAGAAUUCCACGUGUAGCAGUGAAAUGCGUAGAUAUGUGGAGGAACACCGAUGGCGAAGGCAGCCCCCUGGGUCAAGAUUGACGCUCAUGCACGAAAGCGUGGGGAGCAAACAGGAUUAGAUACCCGAGUAGUCCCAUGA
rnacentral:rRNA from 1 species